CCUUACAAUUUCAACUCUUCCUUGGAGGAAAAUGAGAAGUGCCAGUCUGGAUUCUAAAGCACUCACUGGCCUUGAGCACUGAGAAAUUUCUUUGCUGCGUGC
rnacentral:lncRNA from 1 species